CGACUCGAGUGUCGGAUAGGAUUGGGUGCCACGAUCUCUGACUCCGGCUUUUUCUUAUUUUUGGAUCGAUCACUACUUCACUAAUUCUUCCCACUUUCUUUUCUUCUCAACUUCUCCAUCUUCUUUACCAUUCAUAAAACCGCCGAGAAUAAAAACCUUAAUAAAUCGCUCAUCUAUCUAAUUCUCAAACUCUUAUUUUGUUGAAAAAGAUGGAUUAUAUUUUGGAUUGACCAAUUUUGAUAAGGAUUAAGUAGGGUUUGUUAGGUGUGCUGUAGUGUUUAAAUGUUGAUGUAGCUCCUUGAUGGAAUCUGAUCUUUGAUUAUCAUCGCUAUCAUAAUACAACAACUUUUGCGAGGUAGGGAAGUUGAUCGUUUGGGUGAAUUUAGUUUUAUCGGAAGUUUUGUUCCAGUAAUUCCUUCUUCUGUGCUAAGUUUAAUCUUGAUUCUGGACAAUCAGUCUUGACUCUUGAUGUAUUUUAAGGAGCAAGCACCUUCAGUCAUUUUCAUGAAUGACGUUGACAAUAUUGGUUCUGCUUGUAUGGAAUCUGGAACUGGUAAUGGUUAUAAUGAAGUGCAGAAAACCAAGGGGCAUAACUCUUGCCAUACUAAUUUUCAACAGCUUGCUCUCAUUAGUGUACGAGGAAAGUAAUCUUUUACUUACAGAACCUUGUGAACAAGUUGAAGGGAUGAAAUCCCAGUAGAUGCUUUCUCCUGUCAAUUUUAUUCAGCCACGCACAUAUUUACAUUCUAUAAAUCACGUAAGUUAGAGAUGCCAAUGCAUUUAAUUUGAUCUGUUAUUUAUUCUGUUGUAAGGAACGUCUUCUUAGGAGUUAUUGUUGGCAGUCAUUUCAAAUUUCUUUCAACAACUUUGGUUGCUUGCUUUUAACAUUUUUGUAUAGACUUCAAUUGUGGUUUAGUCAUAUAUUUUUAUAGUUUAGAGGAGCCAUGGAGAAAGAAAAACUUCAAUUUAUCACUUUAUCCUGCCUCCUUUCAAGCUUGUCUGUGUCUGUGUCAGUGUCUCUUUUUUUUUUUCUCUGCAUUUCAUCAAUUAAUUCUACCGUGUUCGACUUCUAAUGUAAUGUCAAUCACUUUCUAUGAUUAAUAUCUAGUUUUGUGGUGUUUGCAUCUCUUUUCACAAUGUAAUUGAAGCUUAUGUAAUAAUAUGUUAUGGGUCGGAUGAGAUAUAUAUGCCUUGGCCUUCGUGCUCAAUAAGGAAAUGCCAAGUUAUAUUUCACGUUUUUCAACCUUUUUUUAUACUUGUAUCAAAUUCCUAUUAAUGAUGUUUCUUUUGGAUUUGGGUGCUGGUGGCUUUGAGUGAAUUGUGUCUGGGAAGGUGGUGAUUAGUGAUGACUGAUAUAUGAGUAAGCUUCAUUGCGCACCGAGUAUUGCACAAUCUCUGUGUAAUAGCAUACAUUUGAGUAUCAGCGCAGUCAUCCAAGAUUCAGACAUGCUUGCUUAUUCCUUACACUGGGCGUAACUCUCACCACAGUAAUUUUGCACAAAUUGUUCCUGUUGGUGCCUGAGGGACGACAGAAGACUGCUAGCAGUGACGUAAUAUUCUCCUAUCUGAUAGAGUAUAUUCAUUGUUCGAAGAAUGACACACACUUCAGCAGUAUAAGAUCUUACAUUGUGUCAUGAAUUCUACAUUUUGUUUUAUUCCUCUCUUCUAUAUAUUCUGUUGCAGCCAAGCCACAUCCUAGCGGAAGAGUUUGGAGGUACAAGCAUCUUCAGUAAACAGAACCUAGGGUAGGCUGGCAAUGGAAGUGCAAUUCUCCUUCGCGAAAUUUGUUGGAGGUUGCCCUUCCAACUCUUUUAUGCGAAUGUGUUUAUAUAUUUUGAAACUUGCUGACAAUAUUGAUAUUACUUGUAAAACUCUAUCACAUUCCGUGUAUCAACAUAUUUAUAUUCCAUGUUGAUUUUCCAUUAUAUUAUUUGACUUGAUGCAA